UAUCUCUGUAGAGUCUGCAUAUCAAUAAGCGGAGGAAAAGAAACUAACAAGGAUUCCCCUAGUAACGGCGAGUGAAGCGGGGAGAGCUCAAAUUUGAAAUCUUCAAGGUUUGACCUUGACGAAUUGUAGUUUAAAGAAGUGUUUUCGGUUAGAGGAGUAGUAAAAGUUCUUUGGAAUAGGACAUCAUAGAGGGUGAGAAUCCCGUAUUUGACUAUUCUUUCUAGCUUUGUGAUACACUUUCAAAGAGUCGGAUUGUUUGGGAAUGCAGUCCAAAAUGGGUGGUAAAUUUCAUCUAAAGCUAAAUAUUGGCGAGAGACCGAUAGCGAACAAGUACCGUGAGGGAAAGAUGAAAAGAACUUUGAAAAGAGAGUUAAACAGUACGUGAAAUUGUCAAAAGGGAAGCGUUUGACACCAGUGUUGUUUUUCCGAAAAUCAAUUAAAAAUUGAUUCAUGCCAGGUUGUAUUGACCUUAUCAGCUUGCAAUUUGGUUUUGGGUCUCUUUUUGAUGCACUUUUCGGUUAACAAGUCAACAUCAAUUUCCUUUGCUGUAAAAAGGUAAGAGGAAGGUGGCUUCAAUUUCGGUUGAAGUGUUUAUAGCCUUUUAUCUCUGCAGUCGGGGAGAUUGAGGUCUGCAGCGUAGAUCCUUCGGGGCUAGAUACAUUUAUGCUAAGUUAUAGCUUUUCAUAGACAACUUGUUGACUAUGAUUAGUCAUGUAGCUUACUCGUAGUGCUAUUUUACCUACGCUUAGGAUGUUGAGCGCAUGUCUCUCUCU
rnacentral:rRNA from 1 species